CCUACGGGGGGCAGCAGUGAGGAAUAUUGGUCAAUGGGCGGAAGCCUGAACCAGCCAAGUAGCGUGCGGGAUGAAGGCCCUACGGGUCGUAAACCGCUUUUGCACGGGGAUAACACCCUCCACUUGUGGCGGUCUGCAGGUACCGUACGAAUAAGCGCCGGCUAAGUCCGUGCCAGCAGCCGCGGUAAUACGGAAGGCCCGAGCGUUAUCCGGAUUCAUUGGGUUUAAAGGGAGCGUAGGCGGGCGUUCAAGUCAGCGGUAAAAGCGCGCGGCUCAACCGCGCCCCGCAGUUGAAACUGGACGCCUUGAGUUCACAAGAGGCAGGCGGAAUGCGUGGUGUAGCGGUGAAAUGCAUAGAUAUCACGAAGAACCCCGAUUGCGAAGGCAGCCUGCCGGGGUGCGACUGACGCUGAGGCACGAAGGUGCGGGUAUCAAACAGGAUUAGAUACCCUAGUAGUC
rnacentral:rRNA from 1 species